GUAAAAAUGUACUUCAUGUUCACUUCUUUAUGUACAACCAUGUCCUUCACAAAAUUAUAUUAGAUGUCAACAUGUUUGGUCUUCCCAUGACAUUUGGGAUCCUUCGUGUAAGCUCUUACUACUCGACUAUCACAAUAUACAGUCACUAGCUCAAUAGCACUAUCAAACAUUAUCAAGUGUACCAGAAAGCAUUUUAACUAAACAGCCUUUUGCACAGUAGUCGAAAAUGCAAUGAAC
rnacentral:misc_RNA from 1 species